AUGGUCCCAAUGGACAAUGGAGCCCGUGCCCGUCACGACGAAGAAGCCGAUAGGCUGUACAUGGAAACGUGGGUCAAAUAUCGGCGAGGUCCGGAUGAUAUGCGCAAGAUACCGCCGACACGGAUCCUCAUGUACCCAGAUAUAUUUGAGAGAGCGUGGGGUUGGGACCGGCUGCUGCCACAAGACUACACGUCCUCGCGCCUCUAUUUUGACUACCUCAGGGAGUAUCACAGGCGCAAUCGCCUCAUGGACUACGUCGCCGCCGCCGCCGGCAAGCCUGAGGAGUGGCCGCUCAAAGCCCGGCCACCGGUUGAUGAUGGUGUUAUCACCGGAUGCUUCCCGGAUGGGAAUGAUGCCCUCACUGCUGCCGCCAGAUUUUGCCUGGACAUGGAGCUGCGGUUCAUGUCGGUGUGGAAGAGCCGACCCGUGCGCAACGUGGAACUCCUGAGCCAGAAGAUCCAGGAGCGCGCCUGUCACCUCAUCGUCGUGGGGCGAGAAUUCUCUGAACCCGCCGCCGCCAGCUUGGUGUGCAUCGCCAACGAGGCGGCUUUGGCUUGUGAGCUGCUGACACGUGGGGCUGAAGCCACCGACGUGGAGAUCAAACUAUGCAACUGCAUCCGCCAGUGCGCGCUGAGUCUUAUGUACAUGACAGGGCCGCGUUCCGAUGCCUCUGCUGCUGCUAUGGUGGGUGUUCCCAAGGAGGCCAGAAGAAUGUGUGAGUGGAUGAGGAAUGUGAACCAACUGUAUGCUUUCCAAGGUUACUCUGAAAUCCACAAGAUGGGUCAGUGCGAUGAGAUCCGGAUUCCCACCUUUCGUCUUUUCGAGUAUACAUCAUUUUCUUGUUGGGUUAUCAUUAUGUCAUGA
rnacentral:rRNA from 1 species